AGCAGCCGCGGUAAUUCCAGCUCCAAUAGCGUAUAUUAAAGUUGUUGCAGUUAAAAAGCUCGUAGUUGAAUUUCGGAAUCAGUACGCUGGUCGUGCCUUCGGUAUGUACUGGUGUCACUGGUUUCUCCCUUCUGAAGAACCAUCAUGCCAUUUACUUGGUGUGGUGGGGAGUCAGGACUGUUACUUUGAAAAAAUUAGAGUGUUUAAAGCAGGCUCGCGCUUGAAUACAUUAGCAUGGAAUAAUGAAAUAGGACGUUAAUCCUAUUUUGUUGGUUUCUAGGAUCGACGUAAUGAUUAAUAGGGAUAGUUGGGGGCAUUAGUACUCAAUUGUCAGAGGUGAAAUUCUUGGAUUUAUUGAAGACUAACUACUGCGAAAGCAUUUGCCAAGGAUGUUUUCAUUAAUCAAGAACGAAAGUUAGGGGAUCGAAGACG
rnacentral:sRNA from 1 species